UACGUAGGGUGCAAGCGUUUGUCCGGAAUUAUUGGGCGUAAAGAGCUUGUAGGCGGUUUGUCGCGUCUGCUGUGAAAUUUCGGGGCUCAACCCCGAACUUGCAGUGGGUACGGGCAGACUAGAGUGUGGUAGGGGAGACUGGAAUUCCUGGUGUAGCGGUGAAAUGCGUAGAUAUCGGGAGGAACACCUGAGGCGAAGGCGGGCUACUGGGCCGAUACUGACGCUGAGGAGCGAAAGCGUGGGGAGCGAACAGG
rnacentral:rRNA from 1 species